GAUGAAGAACGCAGCGAAAUGCGAUAAGUAGUGUGAAUUGCAGAAUUCAGUGAAUCAUCGAAUCUUUGAACGCACAUUGCGCCCCCUGGUAUUCCGGGGGGCAUGCCUGUUCGAGCGUCAUUUCACCACUCAAGCCUCGCUUGGUAUUGGGCAUCGCGGUCCGCCGCGCGCCUCAAAUCGACCGGCUGGGUCUUCUGUCCCCUAAGCGUUGUGGAAACUAUUCGCUAAAGGGUGUUCGGGAGGCUACGCCGUAAAACAACCCCAUUUCUAAGGUUGACCUCGGAUCAGGUAGGGAUACCCGCUGAACUUAAGCAUAUCAAUAAGCGGAGGA
rnacentral:misc_RNA from 1 species